GCCGGUGAUAAGCCGGAGAAGUGGGGAUGACGUCAAGUCCUCAUGGCCCUUACAGGCUGGGCUACACACGUGCUACAAUGGCAUCUACAGUGGGCAGCUAUUCCGCAAGGAUGCGCUAAUCUCCAAAAGAUGUCUCAGUUCGGAUUGUCCUCUGCAACUCGAGGGCAUGAAGGCGGAAUCGCUAGUAAUCGCGGAUCAGCAUGCCGCGGUGAAUACGUUCCCAGGCCUU
rnacentral:rRNA from 1 species